AGUGACAGUAACAGUGACUUGUCACAGUGACUGCUCCAGUCACUGUGACAACUUUUUGGUUGGAACAGGCUGUCACAGUGACUGCUCCAGUCACUGUUACGUUACUUUCGACUCAUCUCUAUUUCCUACACAGCUGAAGAUCUACCUAAGAGUCUUAUUGAUUACAUAACUGAGCAGUGUCCCUGUCCCUGUGGAAAGAAAGUAUUUCGAAAUGUAUACUCGUCCUGUAUACUCGUACUGGAUCUGUACAAAUUAGCUUCAACAGUAGUUUAUAUUAACAACACAAGUCGUUUUAAAGUUCCCCUCGAAGUCUAUUUUUGCUCAACAAAAUGUUGGAAGAAGUAUGAAGGACAAGAACUCAUCUGAUUGCUGAUACUCAUAAGAGAAAACGAAAAUAUUUAAUUUAUCGGUAUUCUUUGUUUUUUUUAAAUUUUUUGUAGCUGUAUUAAAUGUGUAUUUUUUAUAAAUAAAAUUACAAAAAUAACAUAUGUUUCGGAAAUAUUUUUUAAAAAUAUUUUGGAAAGAUAUUUAUAAGCAGUUUUCAAAAUAAGGAAUGCUGCCACAACUAAAAUAGUGUCUUGAUAAAUUGUAGUGAAUUAAUUUUAAAAUAGCAAUCUUUUUAUGCCGUAUUUCUUUUUGUUCUUCAAAAUGGAAUUUUUUUGAAUGCCUAACUGUACAAAAAAUUUUGCAAUUUAUUUAUAAUUUUAUAAUGUAUUGAAUAUAUUGAAUUAUAUUCUACCAAAGCUUUUAAAAAUUGCAAGAUUUGUACAAUUGCCAAGUUUAAGCUCUUUUCCCAUUUAAACAUCAAUAAUUUAUUAUGCAUAUGUUAACUAAAAAAAUAUGUUGCAUACAUAACCAGCUGUCUUUAACAGAACAGGCAAUGCUUCAAACUGGUUUAAAUUAUUGUUUGAUGACAAAAAUAAAAUAAAUGUAUUUACACGCAGUCAUGUUUGAAAUUUAAUUUUCUUUAAACAAAAUAAUGUAAAUAAAAUUAAUUUUAUGAUUGGUU